GCCGGGAUAGCUCAGUUGGGAGAGCGCAAGACUGAAGAUCUUGCGGUCCUGGGUUCAAUCCCCAGUCACGGCA
rfam:Stentor coeruleus isolate WM001 SteCoe_contig_87, whole genome shotgun sequence.